CCAAUAGCGUAUAUUAAAGUUGUUGCAGUUAAAAAGCUCGUAGUUGAAUUUUGGAUUCUUCCAAUUGGUCCAUCUUUUAGAUGAGUACUGGUUGUGUGGGGUCUAUCCGCCUGGUGAUACGUAAUGUCCUUUAUUGGAUGUUGCGGGUAGUCAGGACCUUUACCUGGAAAAAAUUAGAGUGUUUAAAGCAGGCUUAUGCCGGAAUACAUUAGCAUGGAAUAAUAGAAUAGGACGAAGUUGUUUUAUUUUGUUGGUUUCUAGGACAACCGUAAUGAUUAAUAGGGAUAGUUGGGGGCAUUAGUAUUCAAUUGUCAGAGGUGAAAUUCUUGGAUUUAUUGAAGACUAACUACUGCGAAAGCAUUUGCCAAGGAUGUUUUCAUUAAUCAAGAACGAAAGUUAGGGGAUCGAAGACGAUCAGAUACCGUCGUAGUCUUAACCAUAAACUACGCCGACUAGGGAUCGGGCGAUGUUGUUUCCAUGACUCGCUCGGCACCUUACG
rnacentral:rRNA from 1 species